GAUCAACGCUGGCGGCGUGCCUAAUGCAUGCAAGUCGAACGGGGUGUUCUUCGGGACACUCACGUGGCGGACGGGUGCGGAACACGUGGGCAAUCCACCCUCGGGCGGGGGAUAACCUCCAGAAAUGGGGGGUAAUGCCGCAUACGUGGGCCGGCGAGUAGCGUCGGUUCGGAAAGGUGUACUUCGGUAUGCCACCCGAGGACGAGCCUGCGGCCGAUUAGCUUGUUGGUGGGGUAACGGCCUACCAAGGCGAUGAUCGGUAGCUGGUCUGAGAGGACGGCCAGCCACACGGGGACUGAGACACGGCCCCGACUCCUACGGGAGGCAGCAGCAAGGAAUCUUCCGCAAUGGGCGAAAGCCUGACGGAGCAACGCCGCGUGCGGGAUGACGCCCUUCGGGGUGUAAACCGCUUUUCCGGGGGAAGAAGGCUUCGGCUUGACGGUACCCCGGGAAUAAGGACCGGCUAACUACGUGCCAGCCGCCGCAGUAACAC
rnacentral:rRNA from 1 species